GUUUGUUUUGUUGUUGUUAUUGUUUUGGUUUGCUUGGGUUUUUUUAAGGUUUUGGAGUUGCAGAGAGCCCCUGGUGUGUGAGAUACUUUGUGCCAUGACGUGGGCUCUCCCUGUCAGUGAGGCCAGGUGUUGAAGCCGGGCUGCAUCGUACUAAAGGGAAACCCUCGCCCAACGAGCUUUGGAUUUUAACCAACUGCACCACUGCAGAGUGCACACGAGAAGAUCUCGUGGGUUUUCACGGUCAUUACAUGCACUUCCAGCAGGGAAUGAGCUGACCUUUACAAGGGAAGGUUCCCUAGGAACUGUGCAUACUAACCACGUUACUGAGGGCUGCGCUGCUCUGAAGAGCACUGGUGCAUACCACUGUGCUCCCUGGAAGAUUCCCUUUUGCCACAAACGAUGGGGUGGAUACAACAGGAGAUUUUACCAGCUGCCGGGUGAAAGAUGGGCGCUAAUCAGCUCUGCUGACAACAACCAAUGAAAAUGGAAGGGAAGCAAAGGAUACCUCCCUUUUUAACAAUUCAACAACUCUGUUUGUAAGCAUGUGUUAAGUUGUGGAUCCUUUAAGAGAAUUGCCUCCUUUUUUUCAUACUUGGGCAGAAAACCAAGAAUUAAAUCUGACCUUUUCACAAAAAUUAAACUGAGAGAGAGAUGAAAGCUACAAGUUUGUAUCCUUCUCAGACAAGAAUUUCAUUGGAUUUACUGCAACUGCAGGCCCAAGUAAAACAAGCAGGAUUUGGCCUGUAAACUUUCAUUCCAGCUGCCAGAGUAAAAUUUCUAAUUGAUUAGUACAAAAUAAAUUCGAAGCAACACUGUGUUGCUAUGGAACCUGAGCAAGUAGAAAAAGUUUCUUUGCAGUAUGUGCUGUUUCUCCUUCAAAAAUAAAAAACAGAAGGACUAGAUAACACA